rnacentral:lncRNA from 1 species
AAAGCUAGGGCUUUUGCUUUAUUUUGAAAUUAAGGGGACAAGUAUGACACACUCCCUCUCCCCAUCACAUAACCGGCCACCCUAUUUGUUGGGUCCUCUAUGGGCUAUUUUGUAAUUUAAAAAGUUGUUUAUACUUUCUAGUAUUUACGGUUUGACCCAUAACUUUUCAUAAUUGCAUUUCGGCCCCACCUCUUUAUGAGAUUAAAAUAUUAUGAUUUUAAUUUUGUUUGUAGCUUAAACUCAUCAUAUAAUUAUGCCCAUAUGUACUAAAUCUAAUUGAUUAUGUUGCAUUCCAAUUUAAUUAUUUAAUGUGAUUAAGUAGUUAGUAAAAUGGUUGACU